rnacentral:rRNA from 1 species
AGGACGAACGCUGGCGGCGUGCUUAACACAUGCAAGUCGAGCGGAAAGGCCCUUCGGGGUACUCGAGCGGCGAACGGGUGAGUAACACGUGAGCAAUCUGCCCUUAGCUCUGGGAUAGCUCCGGGAAAACCGGGAUUAAUACCAGAUAUGACCACGGCCGACAUCAGCUGUGGUGGAAAGAAUUUCGGCUAGGGAUGAGCUCGCGGCCUAUCAGCUUGUUGGUGGGGUAAAGGCCUACCAAGGCGACGACGGGUAGCCGGCCUGAGAGGGCGACCGGCCACACUGGGACUGAGACACGGCCCAGACUCCUACGGGAGGCAGCAGUGGGGAAUAUUGCGCAAUGGGCGAAAGCCUGACGCAGCGACGCCGCGUGCGGGAUGAAGGCCUUCGGGUUGUAACCGCUUUCAGCAGGGACGAAGCGAAAGUGACGGUACCUGCAGAAGAAGCGCCGGCUAACUACGUGCCAGCAGCCGCGGUAA